UACGUAGGGUGCAAGCGUUGUCCGGAAUUAUUGGGCGUAAAGGGCUCGUAGGCGGUCCGUCACGUCGGGAGUGAAAUCCUGGGGCUUAACCCCAGAAUUGCUUCCGAUACGGGCAGACUAGAGGUAGGUAGGGGGAGAAUGGAAUUCCUGGUGUAGCGGUGGAAUGCGCAGAUAUCAGGAGGAACACCAGUGGCGAAGGCGGUUCUCUGGGCCUUACCUGACGCUGAGGAGCGAAAGCGUGGGGAGCAAACAGG
rnacentral:rRNA from 1 species